UGAACGCUAGCGGCAGGCCUAACACAUGCAAGUCGAACGGUAACAGAGAAGAGCUUGCUCUUUUGCUGACGAGUGGCGCACGGGUGCGUAACGCGUAUACAAUCUACCUUUUACAGGGGGAUAGCCUUUAGAAAUGAAGAUUAACACCCCAUAGUAUCUAUGAUAUCGCAUGGUAUUUAGAUUAAAAUUUCGGUGGUAAAAGAUGAGUAUGCGUUCUAUUAGCUAGAUGGUGUGGUAACGGCACACCAUGGCGACGAUAGAUAGGGGCCCUGAGAGGGGGAUCCCCCACACUGGUACUGAGACACGGACCAGACUCCUACGGGAGGCAGCAGUGAGGAAUAUUGGACAAUGGGCGAGAGCCUGAUCCAGCCAUGCCGCGUGCAGGAAGACUGCCCUAUGGGUUGUAAACUGCUUUUAUACAGGAAGAAACCCACCUACGUGUAGGUGGCUGACGGUACUGUAAGAAUAAGGAUCGGCUAACUCC
rnacentral:rRNA from 1 species